rnacentral:lncRNA from 1 species
AGUGAUUGCCUUCUACAUAAAGUAUGUAGUUAUAUCUCUCAAAUCAUGCUAGGAUUAUAAUAGGAAACUAUAUACCAAUACCUCAUAAAUAAUAUCCAUAAAAAUAUUGACCAUUGAAAAAUCUAAUUGUUUGAAUUUGGUUGGGCAAGUCACCUUUAUAAAGUCCCAACUCUCAUUCUUCCUAUUUAUAGUAUGUAGAAUGCCAGGAUUUCGAGUCCUAUUUGUG